rnacentral:misc_RNA from 1 species
AAGUCGUAACAAGGUUUCCGUAGGUGAACCUGCGGAAGGAUCAUUCAUGAGACGCCGGGGCUCGCCCCGACCCUCCAUCCCCUGUGUAACUACCUCUUCUGCCUGGCUCGCGGCCCGCGGUCUCACCGCGGGCGGGGCCGCCCUUUAAACCCAAACCUUUUUUUUCGCCGUCAGAGUUUACUUCGUUUAAUCGAAAAAACACAA